rnacentral:lncRNA from 1 species
CGUGACUGGCGCAAGCUGCACACUUCUGCGGAAGUAAAUUUGCCUUGCUGAGAAAAUUUCUGUUUGAGUGCUAUUUCUUUUGCAGCACUGAAGCUUGUUUCUAACAAAUUUGGGGGUUCGUCCAGGAUUCCCAUUCUCCUCUGGGGAAGGGUCCAGUCCUCUCCUGUGAGGAGGUGUGCCCUGCUGCCUCAUUGCAGUGGACUCAGGGGUAAGGAAUCAAGACCCACCUGGUGUGACGAAUAAACCUGGACUCUCAGCAAUGCAGGAAAAAACAGACCAACAACUUGGGAAAAAAAAAGAAAAAGAUCAUCAUAUACCAUGGCAACCAGCUUUCUGAAUCCCAGCGAAACCAUUAGGUCUGAGAAGAAUGCUCAGCAAGUCAAUGAGAUGCACCGAAAACUGCCACGCCUGCAGCCAGCAUUGAUCAACAGAAAGGGUCCAAUUCUCCAUGACAAUGCCCGACCUCAUGUCGC